AUGACAUCUUGGUGUUUAGUGAAUCACUACAGGAGCACGAGGAGCAUCUUCGGCUGGUGUUUGAUCUUCUUCGAGAGCACCAACUUUUUGCCAAACUGUCCAAGUGCUCGUUUGCUCAGGAGAGCAUCGACUACCUUGGUCACGUCAUCUCAAGCACCGGAGUGGCAACAGAUGCGGAGAAAACCCAAGCCAUGCUCAACUGGCCGACACCCUCCACACCAACUGAGCUGCGUGGGUUCCUUGGCCUCACCGGCUACUACAGAAAAUUUGUAG
rnacentral:rRNA from 1 species